rnacentral:rRNA from 1 species
UGCAUAUCAAUAAGCGGAGGAAAAGAAACCAACAGGGAUUGCCUCAGUAACGGCGAGUGAAGCGGCAACAGCUCAAAUUUGAAAUCUGGCCUCUUCGGGGUCCGAGUUGUAAUUUGUAGAGGAUGUUUCGGGUACCGCCUCGGUCUAAAUUUCUUGGAACAGAAUGUCAGAGAGGGUGAGAAUCCCGUCUUGGACCGGCGGUAGGGCCCAUGUGAAACUCCUUCGACGAGUCGAGUUGUUUGGGAAUGCAGCUCAAAAUGGGUGGUAAAUUUCAUCUAAAGCUAAAUAUUGGCCAGAGACCGAUAGCGCACAAGUAGAGUGAUCGAAAGAUGAAAAGAACUUUGAAAAGAGAGUUAAACAGUAUGUGAAAUUGUUGAAAGGGAAGCGCUUGCAACCAGACUUGAGCGCGGCGGUUCCCCCUUCCUUCUGGUUGGGUUACUCCGCCGUGUCCAGGCCAACAUCGGUUCUGGGGGUCGGUUAAAGGCUUGGGGAAUGUAUCUACUCCUUCGGGGGUAGACUUAUAGCCCCAGGUGUCAUGCGACCUCCCGGGACCGAGGAACGCGCUUCGGCUCGGAUGUUGGCGUAAUGGUUGUCAGCGACCCGUCUUGAAACACGGACCA